GGAGUUGCAGCGAUGAGACAGGACUGUAACUACCAAUUGGAUAACUGGGAUAAAUUGGGGAGAAAAAGGGGUAAAAAAUAUAAAAUAAUAAUAAUCAUUAGGUGAGACACAAAAUUUCAGCUGGCCUUUUAAGGGAAGGGCUGUUAACAUGGUAACUUGGGCACUCCCUGGUCUGUGAUUUAAAAUAAAAUCUCAGACUGCAAUGUCUUCCUAGCAGCAGACAGUUGCAACAAACUCAAACUAACAUUGAAAAAGUAUGUGAACAAACUGAUUUAACUGGCCAAGAAACACGAGAACAAAGUCACACUUUAGUAGCCUUUCUUGUCAUUUCGACCUGCUUCUUUCCUAAACGUGGGCUUUGGAUUUUUUAAUUUUUUUUAUUCCCAAAUGCUCUGUGUGACCACCUGCCAACGUGGCUGGUGGAAUAUUACAUUCAUACAAAAUCUACCCUCAUUUGGCUGGUGUUAAUUUCCAACUCUGGUGACAAUAUUAUCAAAUUGAGAAUGAAGAGACUGAUGACAAUGCAUUGACUAAGAAGGGAACAGAGCUUACCAAAUAGCACUUCUUUCAUAUGCUCCUACAGAAGUCGAUGCAGGACAGACGUUUUGAUUGCUAUACCCUAUCGGAAAGAGAAGAUUCCAAGGUUUCUAAUGAACCUAUUUUUGCCAAACAACUCUACAAAUUGUGCUGAUGGUCUCUCUGUUUCAUAACUCUUUCUAGAAUAACCAUGGCUCCAUGCCCAUGUGAGUACCGGUUACAAUCAGCAACAGCUAUUUGGGAUUUUAUUUUUCUGUUCUAUUCCAUUAUAUGUUUACUGUAAAAUAUGUGUUGACUGUGGUAGGGCAUGGCGCAGCCAUAGAUUUGCAUGGCACAGCCAUGCACAGAUAAAUACAAUUAUGUAAUCACUAAUUGUGAAUGAAGAACAGGGUGGGCCAUUCUAUUGUAUUAGUAUUUUCUAAUUAUACUCUCAAAAGAGUUGACCCUUUACCAGUCCACCAAAUCCAAGCAGUCUUAUUAGUUUGCUCUAGGCCUACUUGGAGUAGGUUACACAGUGAGAGCGUGUGUCAUUUACAAUGAGAAGACCAAGACGAAUGGGUGGACAUGCUACAAGAUUUGAAUGAAAACGACUUGGAUGGCGCGGAAGAAAUGGAUCGUGACCAUCUCUGAUUAUCCUUCUGAUUUGUGCUGAACGGCUUUCCAUAUCUGGGAAAAUAUCCAUAUCGGGCAGCAGGUGGGCGAGUGUUGGAUAAUGUGAUGAUGCUUGUGGAAUCUUACAUUGGCAAGGGGCGAAAUGUCACCAUGGACAAUUUCUUCAUUGUCAUUGACGAACAAGUUGCUUGCAAGAAAACAAGCCCGGUCGGCACCAUGAACAAAGGAGAUGGGAGCUCCCUCCCUUAGUGCAAAAUAAGGCAACUGCACAGUAACAGUUCCCCACAACCUAGUUAAAUAAAGGUUAAAUAAAUAAAUAUUCAAACAGUGCUUCAGAAUGGCAAGCCAACACUCACACAUUACCAAGGCAAGAAAUAACAUUUGAGUCUUGAGCACCAUGCAUCCGACAGUUGCCAUUGAUCGGGACACAACGAGAAAACCGGAGACUAUUACACACUACAACGAACAAAGGUCGGUGUGGAUGUUUUGGAUCAGAUGGCACGGCUGUACUCGGUGAAAGGUGGAACUCGCCGCUGGCUUGCUGCUGUGUUCUACAACCUGCUUGACUUGGCUGCUGUCAACGCACACGUGGUGUUCAAGCAGUAAUUGAACAAAACCAUGAGCAGGAGAGACUUUAUCUGGCACACGGGCUACGUGAGAGACAUAUGAGGGCCAAGGCAGCAGCAAAGAUUCCACGCGAGCCAUUGCGCAAGCAAAAUUGCAUACAGCUCCCGGGGGAAGAGAAACUGCCAGGUGGGCAGAUGCACUCGGAACAGAACCCGCGACACCCGUUUCAGCUGAAAGUGACUUGUUUGUGGGAAGUGUUGCAAGUGAAAGUGACAACGAUUUGUGUCGACUGUUAGGACAAGGGAUUGUUAUCUCAUUUAGGACAAGGGAUUGUUAUCCCUAAAUGAGAUCCAACUGUUGCGUGAAGACGCACACCAUACUGUAAGCACGAGCGAAGCAAAAAAUAAUGUGUCCAAUAACUAUUAUAUAACUAAUAUACUAUUUUGACCGCUGUCAUAUGGACACUUAAAUUCAUUAUAAUUCCAUUAUAACUUUUGUGCUGAUUUUCACUAUUCACACCCACACUUGGCACUUAUACUGAUGUUUAGGCUACUGAUAUUUUCUUCAUUGACUGCGCAUCUUGCUGACCGUGCGUCUUGGUUUGGGUAUUUUUAUUUGUUUUGUCGUUAUAAAAAUAAGCUUUUACUGUGUUCUAACGUAUAAUAUUUUUGAUUCAUAGUUGUAACAAAGGCACUCUACAAAUAAAAUGUAAUUGACACUUGAAA